UACAGAGGGUGCGAGCGUUGUUCGGAAUUAUUGGGCGUAAAGCGCGCGCAGGUGGUUUCUUAAGUCUGAUGUGAAAGCCCACGGCUCAACCGUGGAGGGUCAUUGGAAACUGGGAGACUUGAGUGCAGAAGAGGAAAGUGGAAUUCCAUGUGUAGUGGUGAAAUGCGUAGAGAUAUGGAGGAACACCAGUGGCGAAGGCGACUUUCUGGUCUGUAACUGACACUGAGGCGCGAAAGCGUGGGGAGCAAACAGG
rnacentral:rRNA from 1 species